rnacentral:rRNA from 2 species
GAUCGCGUCUGCUUGACCGCGUGGUCGUACGGCCGCCGGUUGCGAUCCUGGUGGUUGACGGGGAACCCGGUGAGUCGGUGGAGGAACGGGUUUAGUCGUGGGGGAGCCGUAAACUUACCCACGCUUGACCGCACGGAUCUAAGGAUGAAAGCGGGGGACCGUAAGGCCUCGCGCGAUUGGAGUGGCUGAUGGCUGUCAUGUUGUUGGUGAGGUAAAAGCUGGGUUAGCUCACGAUCUGAGCGUGGUUUGAGAGAACGACUGCUACCACUGGGACUGAGACACGGCCCAAACGCCUACGGGAGGCAGCAGGGGGGAAUUUUGGACAAUGGGCGAAAGCCUGAUCCAUCGGUGCCGCGUGCAGGAAGAAGGCCUGGGGGUUGUAAACGGCUUUUGUACGGAACGAGGAGGUCUGCCUUAAUACGGCGGGCCCAUGACGGUUCCCUAACAAUAACCAGCGGGCAAGUACAUGCCAUCGCCCGCGGUAAUACGUAAGGUGGGAGCGUUAAUCGGAUUUACUGGGCGUAAAGCGUGCGCAGGCGGUGAUGUAAGACAGUUGUGAAAUCCCCGGGCUCAACCUGGGAAUUGCAUCUGUGACUGCAUCGCUAGAGUAGGGUAGAGGGGGAUGGAAUUCCGCGUGUAGCAGUGAAAUGCGUAGAUAUGCGGAGGAACACCGAUGGCGAAGGCAAUCCCCUGGACCUGUACUGACGCUCAUGCACGAAAGCGUGGGGAGCAAACAGGAUUAGAUACCCUGGUAGUCCACGCCCUAAACGAUGUCAACUGGUUGUUGGGUGCAUUAGUACUCAGUAACGAAGCUAACGCGUGAAGUUGACCGCCUGGGGAGUACGGCCGCAAGGUUGAAACUCAAAGGAAUUGACGGGGACCCGCACAAGCGGUGGAUGAUGUGGUUUAAUUCGAUGCAACGCGAAAAACCUUACCUACCUUUGACAUGUACGGAACUCGCCAGAGAUGGCUUGGUGCUCGAAAGAGAGCCGUAACACAGGUGCUGCAUGGCUGUCGUCAGCUCGUGUCGUGAGAUGUUGGGUUAAGUCCCGCAACGAGCGCAACCCUUGUCAUUAGUUGCUACAUUUAGUUGGGCACUCUAAUGAGACUGCCGGUGACAAACCGGAGGAAGGUGGGGAUGACGUCAAGUCCUCAUGGCCCUUAUAGGUAGGGCUACACACGUCAUACAAUGGAUGGUACAAAGGGUCGCCAACCCGCGAGGGGGAGCCAAUCCCAUAAAGCCAUUCGUAGUCCGGAUCGCAGUCUGCAACUCGACUGCGUGAAGUCGGAAUCGCUAGUAAUCGUGGAUCAGAAUGUCACGGUGAAUACGUCCCCGGGUCUCGUACACACCGCCCGUCACACCAUGGGAGCGGGUUCUGCCAGAAGUAGUUAGCCUAACCCGCAAGGGAGGGCGAUUACCACGGCAGGGUUCGUGACUGGGGUGAAGUCGAACAGGGUAAAACCGAAAACCGGAGGGGGGGGGGGGCCCCCCAGCGGGCUUUAAGGUGGUGGGGGGGUGUAAGUGAGCGGGGGAAAAAAACAACACCAUCAGUUGUCUGACUAAGGGAGGGGGGGGGAGGAGAAAGGUUGUUAAUCUGGGUCGUGCCCCCCCCCCCUCGGGGGCGAGGCGGGAGGGACAGGGACCGGGGGAUAGGGGUUUGGCCCCCCUCCUAGCUAUAUACUACACUGACAAGUGGGUGGUUGGGAGGGUAAAAAGAAGAAAAACUUCCAUCCCCCCCUCCUUCCUCUGAAUUUUUGCCCGCCCCAGGGGGAGAAAGUAACGGGUCAGUUCGCGAGGGGUGGGAAAGUGCAUGACGAGGAG